UACAGGGGGGUGCAAACGUUGCUCGGAAUCAUUGGGCGUAAAGCGCACGUAGGCGGUUCGUUAUGUCGGAUGUGAAAGCCCCUUGGCUUAACCGAGGAAGUGCAUCCGAAAACUGGCGAGCUAGAGUACUAAAGAGGAUCGCGGAAUUCCCGGUGUAGAGGUGAAAUUCGUAGAUAUCGGGAGGAACACCGGUGGCGAAGGCGGCGAUCUGGGUAGAUACUGACGCUGAGGUGCGAAAGCGUGGGGGAGCAAACAGG
rnacentral:rRNA from 1 species